rnacentral:rRNA from 1 species
UACGGAAGGCAGCAGUGAGGAAUAUUGGUCAAUGGAGGAAGCUCUGAACCAGCUAUACCGCGUGUAGGAUGACAGCCUUUUUGGUUGUAAACUACUUUUGUAUAGGAGUAAAAAUUUCUACGUGAUAGAAGCCUGAAAGUACUAUACGAAUAAGUGUCAGCUAAUUUCGUGCCAGCAGCUGCGGUAAUACGUAAGACACGAGCGUUAUUCGGAUUUAUUGGGUUUAAAGGGUGUGUAGGCUGUUUAUUAAGUCAGUAGUGAAAGCUUACAGCUUAACUGUAAAAUAGCUAUUGAUACUGGUAAGCUUGAAUAAGAUUGGAGUAUCUGGAAUGUAUGGUGUAGCGGUGAAAUGCAUAGAUAUCAUACAGAACACCAAUAGCGAAGGCAGGAUACUAAAUCUUUAUUGACGCUGAGACACGAAAGCGUGGGUAGCAAACAGGAUUAGAUACCCUGGUAGUCCACGCCCUAAACUAUGAUCACUAGCUAUUGGAAAAACUAUAUUCAGUGGCUAAGCGAAAGCGAUAAGUGAUCCACCUGGGGAGUAUAAUCGCAAGAUCGAAACUCAAAGGAAUUGACGGGGUUCAGCACAAGCGGUGGAGCAUGUGGUUUAAUUCGAUGAUACGCGAGGAACCUUACCAAGGCUUAAAUGUAUUACGAAUAAGCUGGAAACAGCUUAGUCUAUAUGACGAAAUACAAGGUGCUGCAUGGUUGUCAUCAGCUCGUGCUGUGAAGUGUUUGGUUAAGUCCUAUAACGAGCGCAACCCUUAUUGUUAGUUGCCAUCAGGUAAUGCUGGGGACUCUAACAAAACUGCCAGUGUAAAUUGAGAGGAAGGUGGGGAUAAUGUCAA